GAUGAACGCUGGCGGCGUGCCUAAUACAUGCAAGUCGAACGCACAGCGAAAGGUGCUUGCACCUUUCAAGUGAGUGGCGAACGGGUGAGUAACACGUGGACAGCCUGCCUCAAGGCUGGGGAUAACAUUUGGAAACAGAUGCUAAUACCGAAUAAAACUUAGUGUCGCAUGACACAAAGUUAAAAGGCGCUUUGGCGUCACCUAGAGAUGGAUCCGCGGUGCAUUAGUUAGUUGGUGGGGUAAAGGCCUACCAAGACAAUGAUGCAUAGCCGAGUUGAGAGACUGAUCGGCCGCAUUGGGACUGAGACACGGCCCAAACUCCUACGGGAGGCGCAGUAGGGAAUCUUCCACAAUGGGCGAAAGCCUGAUGGAGCAACGCCGCGUGUGUGAUGAAGGCUUUCGGGUCGUAAAGCACUGUUGUAUGGGAAGAACAGCUAGAAUAGGGAAUGAUUUUAGUUUGACGGUACCAUACCAGAAAGGACGGUAA
rnacentral:rRNA from 1 species